AUGAAAUUAUACAAGAUGGAUAGUGAUGUGCCAUGCCUCUCUUACUCUUACCCCUGCUCAGAGAUUCUAUUUACACGUAUUCCGAGCUGGAACCAGCGAUGGUAUCGAUGAAUACGGAGUAGAUAAAUGUUGACAGGGAAGAUGUUCGGGUCUUAACGAAAAACAAAACGGGUAUGCGAAUCUGGUUACUAAAUUUGUCAUAAAACUGGUAGCAUAAAACUUGGAUCAAAAGCUAAAAUAGAAUCUGUAAGAUUACUGUGAUUAUGAGAUUAAUACUAACCCAGAAGGAUCUGGCUUUUGCUCUUAAGUAAACUAAAUAAUUGUACUAAUAUUAUGAUGUAUAUAGUUACAACGGCUGUAUCAUCCAAAGCUACCUAAAAUUAUUAACGAUUAAGUAAUUUUUAGCGUGGCGACCACACCCUUACCAGCUGAAUCUUCUAAAUCCCAAAAUAAUGAGAAUUUUCAAGGGCUAUGCUAACAACACUACUAAAGAGCCUCUUGAAAUAACCAACUACCACGAUGAAGAUUAGCUUCAAAAGUGUCCAAAAUUGGUCAAGGUAAAGUAUAUCACAAUCAGAAGAAUGUGACCUGAUAACCCCCCACAAGAUAGAUGUUUAAAUUUUGAAUUUCGCGGAAAUAUAUGCAAC